rnacentral:lncRNA from 1 species
UAAUAUAUAAAUAUUUAACUUAAUACGUUCAUUAUUAUUUUAUUAAUUUAUCGUCACACGUCAUUUACCAGUUGCCUAAUUACGAAAAGUUUCAUAUGACAUUAACCUCAAAAAUGAUCUUUGAAAACAAACAACAACAAACAGAGCAACAAAUGAACAAAUAACUACAUAAUGACUGAUAAUGAUAAGUGAUAAUAAUAACUUUAAUUAUAUGAAGGCUGAUGAAGGUAAUUAUAAACAUUAUUUUGAGUUUGUUUAAUAAAAUAUAGGAUACAAUAUAACUAAGCAAAAUCAAACAGUUUUAGACAACCAAUACAAGAUUUAGAACUUUGACAGCGUGAUAAACAAAUUGUACAUUCAGGAACUCGUUUAAAUAUUAUAGGUUGAUUGACGAAUACUCUACAGUUGAUUAGAGCCCAUGAUGAUGCGAAGAUAAUUAAUAUCACCUAACUUCAAGAAACCAGCAUAAAGAAGUUUACAUUCAUAACUCAUCUAACCAUUAUAGAUCAGUAAUGUCGUCAUAAUUUAAAUGAACUCACAGAUAGCAAUGGGGCACUGCACCGAAGCAGUAUUACAAAAUAUGUGAAAUAAAACUGUAAUACAAAUUGCUCUAUAAAAUUUAAUAGAAAUAAAUUUAUUUAUGAAAAUUAAGUUAUGAAGUUUUAUUUUUCCUAGGAAAAAAAUAACAUUUAUAUUUUGAUCAAUUUAGAACAUUACAGUUAAAAAAAUAUGUGUUAGAAUAACAUAUUUUUAAUAAAAUUGCAGCUUUUAAUUUUUAUACUUUUUUGCUUUUAUAUCAAUAAGAACUAACGUAAGGAACAAUUCAUAUUUAUACUAUGAAAACACAUGCAUAUUUUUUGAUGUUUUUAAAACCAGUGAAUGAUGUUGAAAUAUACUACACCUAUUAUUCUUAUUAACUAACUUUAAUUACAAACUUACACAUUAUUGUCAUUGGAAAUAAAUUAAUUUGGAUAUUCUA